rnacentral:lncRNA from 1 species
UCCUGAAAAUUCCAGCUCUGCACAUAAACAGCCCCCCAAAAAUUCAGUGUAUUCCUGAAAAUUCCAGCUCUGCACAUAAACAGCCCCCCAAAAAUCAGUGUAUUCCUGAAAAUUCCAGCUCUGCCCUAAACAGCCCCCCAAAAAAUUCAGUGUAUUCCUCAGAAUUUCAGCUCUGCACACAGAGAUCAUCCCCAAAAAAUCAGUGUAUUCCCGAAAAUUCCAGCUCUGCACACAAACAGAGAUCAACCCUCAAAAUUCAGUGUAUUCCUGGAAAUUCCAGCUCUGCACAUAAACAGCCCCCAAAAAUUCAGUGUAUUCCUGGAAAUUCCAGCUCUGCCCUAAACAGCUCCCAAAAAAUCAGUGUAUCCCUGAAAAUUCCAACUCUACAGAAAUCAGCCCCAAAAUUCAGUGUAUUCCUGGAAAUUCCAGUUGUGCAGAAAUCAGCCCCAAAAAUCAGUGUAUUCCUGAAAAUUCCAGCUGUUGGAAAAAACACCCAGGAAAUUCUGGUUUGGGUAAGGGAUUAAAUUCUUCCCAAAGUUGCUGGUGAAGGAGGGGAAAACAGCCUGGGGUUGGGCUGUGGAAAUGCCAGAAAAACAAAACAAAAAAUAAAAAAAAAAUUGAAUUAAUGGGAUAAUUGAUUCAAGGUUUUGGGUUGGAAUCGCGGAAUUGUUGAAUCACGGAGUUGUUGGGGCUGGAAAAGAAAUUUAAAUCAACAAAUGCAGCGGUGAAAGCAGGGCUGGUGUCCAGCACUCACUGAUGGCUCCGUUCCCGUUGCUCCAAACCCUUCCCAGAUCCAUUCCUGGUGCUCCAAACCCUUCCCAGAUCCACUCCUGGUGCUCCAAACCCUUCCCAGAACCAUUCCUGGUCCUCCAAACCCUUCCCAGAUCCAUUUCCACCACUCCAAACCCUUCCCAGAUCCAUUCCUCGUGGUCCAAACCCUUCCAGAUCCAAUCCCACCACUCCAAACCCUUCCCAGCUCCAUUUUUGGUGCUCCAAACCCUUCCCAGAUCCAUUCCUGGUGCUCCAAACCCUUCCCAGAUCCAUUCCUGCUGCUCCAAACCCUUCCCAGAUCCAUUCCUGCUGCUCCAAACCCUUCCCAGAUCCAUUCCUGGUGAUCCAAACCCUUCCCAUUUCCAUUCCUCAUGGUCCAAACCCUUCCCAGAUCCAAUCCCAUCACUCCAAACCCUUCCCAGAUCCAUUUUUGGUGCUCCAAACCCUUCCAGAUCCAUUCCUGGUCCUCCAAACCCUGCCCAGAUCCAUUCCUGCUGCUCCAAACCCUUCUCAGAUCCAAUCCUGGUGAUCCAAACCCUCCCUAGAUCCGUUUCCACCACUCCAAACCCUUCCCAGAUCCAUUCCCACCACUCCAAACCCUUUCCAGAUCCAUUCCUGGUGCUCCAAACCCUUCCCAGAUCCAUUUUUGGUGCUCCAAACCUUUCCCAGAUCCAAUCCCACCACUCCAAACCCUUCCCAGCUCCAUUCCUGGUGCUCCAAACCCUUCCCAGCUCCAUUCCUGGUGAUCCAAA